UACGGGGGGGCAAGCGUUGUUCGGAAUUACUGGGCGUAAAGGGCUCGUAGGUGGCCAACUAAGUCAGACGUGAAAUCCCUCGGCUUAACCGGGGAACUGCGUCUGAUACUGGAUGGCUUGAGUUUGGGAGAGGGACGCGGAAUUCCAGGUGUAGCGGUGAAAUGCGUAGAUAUCUGGAGGAACACCGGUGGCGAAGGCGGCGUCCUGGGCAGUAGCUGACGCUGAAGCGCGACAGCGUGGGGAGCAAACAGG
rnacentral:rRNA from 1 species